AUUGAACGCUGGCGGCAUGCCUUACACAUGCAAGUCGAACGGUAACAGGUCUUCGGAUGCUGACGAGUGGCGAGCGGGUGAGUAAUACAUCGGAACGUGCCUAGUAGUGGGGGAUAACUACUCGAAAGAGUGGCUAAUACCGCAUGAGAUCUACGGAUGAAAGCAGGGGAUCGCAAGACCUUGUGCUACUAGAGCGGCCGAUGGCAGAUUAGGUAGUUGGUGGGAUAAAAGCUUACCAAGCCGACGAUCUGUAGCUGGUCUGAGAGGACGAUCAGCCACACUGGGACUGAGACACGGCCCAGACUCCUACGGGAGGCAGCAGUGGGGAAUUUUGGACAAUGGGCGCAAGCCUGAUCCAGCAAUGCCGCGUGCAGGAUGAAGGCCUUCGGGUUGUAAACUGCUUUUGUACGGAACGAAAAGCCCUGGGUUAAUACCCUGGGGUCAUGACGGUACCGUAUGAAUAAGCACCGGCUAACUACGUGCCAGCCGCCGCAGUAAUAC
rnacentral:rRNA from 1 species